rnacentral:lncRNA from 1 species
UAAAAGCACUUUGAAAGAAUAAAUAGAAACAUUAGAAACUUUCUACUAACACAUAUCAUAUUAUGACUCUACUGCUUAAUUAUUCUCACAAGGAUUCCAAAACAUCUUCAUCUGCUAUUUUACGAUUUUUCUACAAUUUACUACGAAUAUUUAAAGUUUCAGCCUUUUUAGAUCUAGAAAAUAAACAAAACCGAGACGAUCUUACUGUCUACCCCCUGGGUCUACGGGUUAAAUGCGCAAACGUCCCUGAAACUUCCCC